CCUACGGGAGGCUGCAGUGAGGAAUAUUGGUCAAUGGCCGAGAGGCUGAACCAGCCAAGUCGCGUGAAGGAUGACGGCUCUAUGGGUUGUAAACUUCUUUUAUAGGGGAAUAAAGGUAUCCACGUGUGGGGAUUUGCAUGUACCCUAUGAAUAAGCAUCGGCUAACUCCGUGCCAGCAGCCGCGGUAAUACGGAGGAUCCGAGCGUUAUCCGGAUUUAUUGGGUUUAAAGGGUGCGUAGGUGGUUUUUUAAGUCAGCGGUGAAAGGUUGUGGCUCAACCCUAAAAUUGCAGUUGAAACUGGAAGACUUGAGUGUGUGUGAGGUAGGCGGAAUGCGUGGUGUAGCGGUGAAAUGCUUAGAUAUCACGCAGAACUCCGAUUGCGAAGGCAGCUUACUACGCCAUAACUGACACUGAUGCACGAAAGCGUGGGGAUCAAACAGGAUUAGAUACCCGUGUAGUC
rnacentral:rRNA from 1 species